rnacentral:lncRNA from 1 species
CUGGGGAAAAGACAGUCUCUUCACUGAAUGGUGCUAGGAAAACUGGAUAUCCAUAUACAGAAGAAUGAAACUAGGCCCCUAUGUCUCAAUGUAUUCAAAAAUAAAAUCAAAACAGGUUAAAGACUUAUAUCUAAGACCUCAAACUAUGAAAUUACUACAAGAAAAUAUUGGGGAAAUUCUCCAGGACAAUGCUCUGGGCAAAAAUUUCUUGAGGCAUACCCCACAAGCACAGGCAAUCAAAGCAAAAAUGGACAAAUGAGAUCACGUCAAGUUAAAAAGCUUCUGCAAAGCAAAGGAAACUGUCAACAAAAUGAAGAGACAACCCACAGAAUGGAAGAAAAUAUUUUCAAACUACCUAUCUGACAAGGGAUUAAUAACCAGAAUAUAUAAGGAGCUCAAACAACUCUAUAGGAAAAAAAUAUAACAAUCCAAUUAAAAAAUGGGCAAAAGAUCUGAAUAGACCUUUCUCAAAAGGAGACAUACUAAUGGCAAGCAGGUGUAUGAAAAUAUGCUCAACAUCAUUGAUCAUCAGCAAAUCGAAACUAUAAUGAGAUAUCUUUUUACCCUAGUUAAAAUGGCCUUUAUCUUAAAGACAGGCAAUAACCAAUGCUGGUGAGGAUGUGGAGAAAAGGGAAACCUCAUACACUGUUGGUGGGAAUGUAAAUUAGUACAAUCACUAUGGAGAACAGUUUGGAGGUUCCUCACAGAAAUGAACAUAGAGCUACCAUAUGAUCCAGCAAUCCCACUCCUGGGUAUAUACUCCAAAGAAAGUAAACAGUAUAUCAAAGAGAUAUCUGCACUCCUAUGUUUGUUCCAGCACUGCUUACAAUAGCUAAGAUUUGGAAGCAACCUAAGUGUCCAUUAACAGAUGAAUGGAUAAAGAAAAUGUGGUACAUAUACAUAAUGGAGUACUACUCAGCCAUUAACAACAAUGAGCUCCUAUAAUUUUCAUUUGCAGCAACAUGGAUGGAACUGGAGGUCAUGUUAAGUGAAAUAAGCCAGGCACAAACAUUGCAUGUUCUCGCUUAUCUGUGGAAUGUAAAAAUCAAAACAAUUGAACUUGUGGACACAGAGCAGCAGUAGAAUCGUUACCAGAGGCUGGGAAGGGGACGUGGUGGUGGAGGGGAGGUUGGGAUAGCUAAUAGGUUUUAAAAAAUAGAAAGAAUGAAUAAGACCUACUAUUUGAUAUCACAACAGGGUGCCUAUAGUCAAUAAUAAAUUAAUUCUACAUUUUAAAAUAACUUAAAAAGCGUAAUUGGAUUGUUUGUAACACAAAGGAAAAAUGCUAGAGGGAAUGGAUAUUCCAUUCUCCAUGAUGUGAUUAUUUAAUAUCGCAUGACUGUAUCAAAACAUCUCAUGUACCCCACAAAUGCAUAUACCUACUAUGAACCCACAAAAAUUAAAAAAAAAAAAACUAAAAAAACUAGCAGUGCUCACUUUGGAAGCAAAUACUAAAAUUGGAAUAAUACACAGAAUAUUAUCAUGGCCCCUUGCACAAGGAUGACACACAAAUUUGUGAAGUACUCUAUAUUUUUAUAUUAAAUAAAAUUAUUAUUUAAAAAUUUUUAAAAACUAAAGAAUUUUAAUACACAGUUUGGAAAAACAUGCUAUAUAGUUUCUAAGUAGCCCAUAGUGAAAAAUAACAUAAUAAAUAAUUUUUAAUUUCCAAAAAUAAAAGUAAAAAUAGACCAAUGCUGUAAGAACUGCUUCUUAUAGCAUAGUAAAAAGAAAAAAAAAAAAAAAGGAGUGGCCAAGAUGGCCGAAUAGAAGCAGAUAGUGUGCAUGGCUCUCAUGGAGAGGAAGAGAAGGGGUGAAUAAAUACAAUACCUUCAAUUGAAACAUCCAGGUACUCGCACUGGGGUUAAUCAAGGAAACAGCCUUACCCACAGAGAACAAACAAAAGCAAGACAGGACAAUGGCCCACCUAGCAGCGACAUGGAGCCAUGGGAUUCCCCCCUGCCCAGGGAAGCAGUGAGUGAAUGAGCAGCCCUGGGAAACCAUGCUUCUCCCACAGAUCUUUGCAACUUGCUGGUCAAGAGGUCUCCUUGUGAACGCACUCCACCAGGGCCUUCAGUCUUCAGUUUGACAGACAGAACUAGGUGGAGUCUUGGCAUAGCAGCUGCUCAGGCACGCAUGGAGACCCUGCAGCCUUAGAUGCUAAGGCUUUCUAGAAAACGUAGCUGCAGCUCCAGCAAAGUGGGAGGUUAGACUCCUGUGCAUGCCCCUAGGAAAGAGGAUGAAUCCAGGGGGCUGAGCAGCAACAGCCCACGGACCCCACUUCCACAGCACUUCACAAGAUAAGACCCACUGACUUGGAAUUCCAGCAGCUACCAGUAGUGGCACUGCACCUCCCUAAGAAGGAGCUCCCUGGGGUUGGGGUGGGCCACCACCAUUGCUGUUCAGGCACCUUAGUCAUUCCAGCCUUCAGGCUUUGGAGAGUCUGAGCUGACCUGGGGCAGAAGGGAUCCCCCAGAACAGUACAGCCACUCUACCAAAAUGUGGCCAGACUGCUGCUUUAAGCAGGUACCCAAUCCUGUUCCUCCUUACUGAGCAGGACCUCCCAACUCAGGCCUCAAGCCACCCCACCUAGGCACUCCAACCAACAGAGAUCUGAAUUACUCUUGGCAUGGCACUCCCAGAGGGAGGGGAAGGCCACCAUCUUUACUGUUUGGGUGACUUAGCUAUUCCAGCCUUUGGACUUUGGAGUGUCUGGGGUGACUGGGCCCUGAAGUGGACCCCCAGUGCUGCACAGAAAAGCUGCUCUACAAAAACGUGGCCAGACUGCUUUUUAAAAUGGGUCCUGAUCCCAUUCCUCCUUACUGGGCAGGACCUCCCAACCGGGGUCUCUAGCCACUUCCUAUAGGUGACUUUGGGCCAGCAACAGGUCCAUACCUCCCUUGGCAAAGCUCCCAAGGGAACUGCCCUUGCCACCGUCAGAUUAGUGAAGAAGUAGAGACCCUAAGUGCCUUAUUCAUACCUCCAGUGAGCUGCAGUUGACCCAAGGGGAGGACGUCAGUCCAUCUCCCACGGGUCCCAUAUAGCCCCCAUGGCUUAUCAACAGACAGGGAACCCCUGGCUUGGGCCCACAGCACAAACUCUCCAUCUUGGGUUGACUGCACUGAGCAAUUGCUGACCUGCAUCUCUCUGAGUUGGAGUCCCAAGGAAUCAAGCAAAUGACCCUUGGCCACAACCACUACUAAGAUCUCUUCCUCUGCGCCGCUAAGCUGGGAAAAGAACAUAAACACUGAAAUCACCCAAGAGCUGCAGUGGGCAGCCCAGGACUGCCAAAUCGUGAACUACACCCUGUACUUAACGGGGAGAGGAACCACAUUUUCAGAGCACUGAGAGGGAACAUGACUGCAACUGCAGGAAAACACAGGGGAGCCACACAAAGGGGCAAGAGUCUACCAACUGACCAAUAAGCCUAAGUGUACCUGCUGGAUCACAUCCCAAGGCUUCAACACCAAAAAUACCUCAUUAACAUACCUCCCUCUGAAAUCAGAGACAAGAAGUCAGCUUCAAAUAAAGACCCUACACAAUGUCUUGGUCCAGUGAAAACAUCCAGAAAAGAAAUCUAUUGACUGUGUUCAAUCUUUACUGCAGUUAAGGGAACACUCACACACACAGAUGAGAAAGAACCAAGGUAAGAACUUU